rnacentral:rRNA from 1 species
GAUGAACGCUGGCGGCGUGCCUAAUACAUGCAAGUCGAGCGAACAGACGAGGAGCUUGCUCCUCUGACGUUAGCGGCGGACGGGUGAGUAACACGUGGAUAACCUACCUAUAAGACUGGGAUAACUUCGGGAAACCGGAGCUAAUACCGGAUAAUAUAUUGAACCGCAUGGUUCAAUAGUGAAAGACGGUUUUGCUGUCACUUAUAGAUGUAUCCGCGCCGCAUUAGCUAGUUGGUAAGGUAACGGCUUACCAAGACAACGAUGCGUAGCCGACCUGAGAGGGUGAUCGGCCACACUGGAACUGAGACACGGUCCAGACUCCUACGGGAGGCAGCAGUAGGGAAUCUUCCGCAAUGGGCGAAAGCCUGACGGAGCAACGCCGAGUGAGUGAUGAAGGUCUUCGGAUCGUAAAACUCUGUUAUUAGGGAAGAACAAAUGUGUAAGUAACUAUGCACGUAUUGACGGUACCUAAUCAGAAAGCCACGGCUAACUACGUG